rfam:Gossypium hirsutum cultivar TM-1 unplaced genomic scaffold scaffold2531.1, whole genome shotgun sequence
AAUAGGAGAAUGACAAAUCAGAUUUUUUUUUCUUGAUUUUAAGUUUUUUCCUUUGAAAAAAUUUCAAAUCCAGCUAAAAACGCUAAAAAUCAAGAAGAAAAAUUUGAUUUGUCAUUCUCCUAUU